CUACCGACUAUACUGUAGUAAACAGCAUUGCUUACACUGAUGAUGACAUCUUGCUAAGCUAGAAGCCCCCGGAGGCAAGAACUCUAGCCUGAGCUCGACGGGAUUCUUGCGGCCUACCAGAGAGAACGAGCACAGGAGUGGCGGCUGGCAUCUCUGCUGGAACCAGUGGUGGUGAUUAAAGCUCCGGUCCCCCCUUUGCCGGUAAGGGAUAUCCCAGCACCCAGUUCACGCCUGUAGUCUUGAGCCACUGGCGGAAUUGCAACUCGGCAGCCAUACCUAGGAAAGAGGCCUGCCAUGCUGCCUAAUUAAGAUGGCAGACGCACCACAGACACCCACCCUUUAAAGCCCGCUAGAGAUAACUACAAGGCGACUGGAUGCAAUAUUUUUGAAUUUCAGGACGAAGCUUAACAAUUGACUGGGCAAUGGUGGGGAGAAGAAACAGAGCACUCACUCACACUACUCACCUCCAGCAAACCGGCAUCUUGAGUCUGGCUCAGCUCCAAAGACAACCACUGCGCAUACGGGCCUGAGAAGACAGAAGUGGA